UUUUUUCACGUUCUCUGCAUAUUAUUCAUUUUUCUUCAUCUUCUUCCCAAAAUGGAAGACAUGACCAUCACACAAAAAUCAUUCUUAACCCAAUUCAAAAAUCGAAAUCGAAAUUGAAAUCCAUUCAAAAUCUUGAGUUCCUCAUCUCAAAAUCGAAAUCCAUUUGAAAUUCAAUUCUUCCAUUCAAAAUCGAAAUCAUGUUCUUCCAUGCGGUUUGAAAUCGAAAUGCAAUUCCGCUUUGAACCGGUUGAUUGGUAUCCAUGGGGUGAAGAAGCUUUCGCCGAAGCUCGCCGCAGAGAUUCUCUUUUCGUUGUUGUAGUGGUGAUGAUGGUUCUGAGCGUAUUUGAUAGUUGAUAGUGCCUGCAAUUUUGCCUGGAUUUCAAUGCAAAGCUUUCAGACUUUGGCCUUGCAAAGGAUGGGCCGAUGGGGGACCAAACACAUGUUUCAUACCUCUUCAUAUAAAUAAAUUAACUACAAUUUUGGUUCUUAACACCAAGUGAACUUAAUGUUUUAUGCUGCAUUGAGAACGCAUUCUAUAAGCUUUUAUUUACCCGAGACACGGGUCAUUCUGUGAGAUAAACUGUUGAUCCUGUUUCUUUAAUGGCAUCAGUAGCUACGGUUGUUCUGUUUAUCAUCUGAUUCACUAUUAUUUUGAUCAUCAGGUUUAGGUUGUUUUUCUUAUUGUCUGAGUUGCAUUAGAGAACAGGCCUAAUUUUUGUCUCUUGAAGUAGGGGUCGGUGUUAAUAGGUGCUACAGAGGCCUCUUUCAAUUGAAAAGGGUUUUUGAGUGCAAUGGCUCUUAACGAAUCAAUCUCGUAAUGUUAUUAGCGAACACCUGUCUCACCAAUUAACGUAUUAGGAUCUGGUCUAGCUUUUUAUGGUGUUUUCCUAUUUUCCAGAAUGAAGAGAAUUAAGCCAAAGACAGCCUAAUGUUCAGGUGUAUUUAUUCAGAAUUACGUUGAUGCAAAUAUUAAGGGAUUUGGAAGAUAUUGCCAUACGAUUUUUGAUGCAAUUCUGCAAAUAUUAAGGAGUUUGAAAGAUAUCAUUAUGUUUUUACCAUACACCGUAUUAAACUCUUGAUGCAAUUAUGCAAAAAUUACGGAAUUUGAAAGAUAUCAUUAUGUUAUUACCAUAUGAGUAACCAAAAAAAAAAAAUUAUAUUUUCUCUGUUGUUUUAUGAGUAACCAAAGAAACUGAAUUUAAUUAAAAAAAUAGCAUUGCUUAGAUUCGAACUUGCAGCGUAAGAAUAGCAACACAAUUCUU
rnacentral:lncRNA from 1 species